GGUUCAUGUGUUGAUUGCUGGUUCCUCCUCUCUCAACUCGGGUCUCUACCCUUGACUGCCAUGUGUUCCAUGUUCCUGCAGAGCUUGGAGAUUUUGUCUGCUUUGAGGCCAGGCAGCUGUGUGGGGCACCGGGUCUGGAUCCUGUUGGCCAUGACUCACCUCACCCUGGACUUCUCGGCGUGCAGUCCUCUCAGUCAGAGUCUGGGGAUCAAGCUCACUCCUAGAUUGGUUGCUCGCUCCCGGCCACGCUUGCAGCCCCUCUGGGACAUGCCCAACAAGCUUCACUGGAGAACGGCGAGCCCUUUGGCGCGGCGGUUCAUCCACCCCGUUCCUCCUCCUCAAGACAACAAGUCAGGGUUGGGGAUGAAAUCCAAAGGUCAGACGCAUCGGAAGUUAGCACAUAAAGGACAAUCGGCAUGCAAGGAGUGCUGGUUAAGAUACUCUCAAACAGAACCAAGUGACCCUUUGCCUGGAAUAGUAGAAGCUCCAGUGGCAUUAUCAAGAGAGAGAUUGUUAAUUAGAGCCAGGAGGCAACUCAAGUGGGACAGCUAUGUCAAGUCUCAGGAGGGCCGGACUACUACGGUGCCUAGUUUCAUUGACUGGGGACCCACGGGGACAGAUAGCAUAGAUGAUGACGGCAAAGCAGAGCUCAAUGCAACGCUGUCCACUAAGGCCUCAACUACCACUGUGGCGACAACCACUAUCACUACUUCAAGGCUCUCCCAAAGGACGUUCACUGUGGUGACCUCAACAGAGUCCAAGAGCACCACCAAAUCCUCUAUCAGCAAAGCAGAGACUGCCAAACCACCAAAGCCAUAUGGGGACACACCAGGUUUGGCAGUUCACCAGAUUAUUACAAUCACUGUGUCUCUUAUCAUGGUGAUCGCAGCCCUGAUCACAACACUCGUCCUUAAAAACUGCUGUGCACAGUCUGGAAAUGGUCGCCACAAUAGCCAUCAGAGAAAGAUCCACCAGCAGGAGGAAAGCUGCCAGAACCUGACAGACUUCACCCCGGCCCGUGUGCCCAGCAAGGUGGACAUCUUCACUGCCUACAAUGACAGCCUGCAGUGCUCACAUGAGUGCGUACGGACUGCCGUGCCCAUCUACACAGAUGAGAUGAUCCAGCAGACUCCUGUCUACAAGAGUACUUACAAUGGAAACAGGCCCUCCCCCACUGAAAGACAACUGAUUCCUGUGGCCUUUGUGUCAGAGAAAUGGUUCGAGAUCUCCUGUUGACGAGCUGUGGGCUUUCACUAGUUCAGUGGGAAAGAUUUCAUGAAUCCACGCUUUGGAUCCAUUUGGAAACAAGAAACACACAAAACAGCUUAUUUUGUAAAAUAGUGUAAUCUCUCCUUGGACACUUGUGAAGAUAUUUAUUUUUCUAGAGCUAACAAGCUGAGCAGCUGUGGAGCUGCUCCUCCAUCUUUCCUGAAGAACAGCAUUCAUUUAGGUAUAUAUAUAUAUCUAUGUAUAGAUAUAUAUAUAGAUAUAUAUAUAUAGAUAUAUAUAUAUAGAUAUAUUUAAAGGACGUAUGGAACAAGACUGUGAACAUCAAGGAUGUCUCAUGGAAAAUAUUUGACUUUAGAUAAAGAAGCCCAAGGAGCUGCUUUGGGCAGAAGAUGAACUGUAUUUCUGAACAAUGUGCCAAUAAUGCCACUAUGUGCCACAACCUGGAUAAAUGGAGGUUUUAACAAUAACCGAAGGACUAAACAAAGUGUGAUAUUAACCCUGUAUCAGCUCUUAUUGCUUUCUUUCUUUUCUUUUUUGUCCUUUUUAAAAAAAAAGUUAAACAAAAACAAAAAAUACUAAAAAUGUAUUUAAAAAUGUUUUGAAGUAAUUUUGAGAUGUGUGUUGCAAAAGAGUCUAAAACAUGUUUCUACGAAUCACAAAGAGUUGGAAAAAAAUAUGGAUGGUUUAUGCUUUACUUUAAAGACAUAUAGUAAUUUCUAUUAAGUCCCAUUUUAAAACCAGGAUAGUUAAGUCUAUUUUUGUACACCUAAAAAGAGCUGCUGCAGCCCCUACACUGAAAGUCUGGAUAACCAGGGAAUGCUGUUGUUUCACGCCCCACCGUUAGCUAAAAUUAUUACAAAGAAACCCAUCUAUACCUGCUCCAAGCUAAUCCAAUGCUAAUGUCCCUGCUUCUUAUGUGAGGUUUGUUCAGAUUAGGGUUAAAGGAAACAUAUUCAGGUUUGUGAAGGCAGAUCCAACAGCACCAGAUAUAUUUGGUGGGAAUAUAGAGUGCCACAACACACUGCAGGGAGCUCCACAGGACAUUCAUACCAUCUCAGGACUGUCUAGGUUUUAUGUGAAGUACAAAUUAGUCUCUUACUAAGCAACCAGUUGGAGUAAAUUCUGAUACCUGAUAUAAUUUGGAUAAAAAGUGAAAACAUAUUGCUCAAUAUUUUUGUUUUUACCUAAAAAAGUUUAUGAAAAAGUUUUGUGGAUGAGGGAACAUACGGUUGAAGAAAAGACAGUAAAGAAGCAACAAAGGAAUGGUUCUAAGGGUCAAAAUUAUCCUCAACAUGCUCCCUUAUACCAUCCACACAGACAACAAAUAACAAGAAUUGCUGAAUUUUAGGAUUCUUAUUUUAAUCAUAAAUUCCUAAAUUCAUAACUGGUUCACAUUUUAUUCUUAGUCUUAUUCUUGAGCCAUCUGGAAUUCGUGGCAAAAGUUUUGAGCUUUUCAUAAUUUUGCUGCAGAACUCCUAAAUCUGAAGCAUCUCAGUCAAUUCUUAACAAAUUAGUAGUUCAUUCAUAAGUAUGGUAACUGAUUCCUAAUUAAUUUCUAGGAAUUCCUAUGCGUCUUAACCACAAAACAAAUGCAUUCUCAUCUUCCACCCCCAGCUCCUGCAUCAGUCUGUUGUGGUGACCAUAUUCUAGCCUUCUAGCUGGUGUCAGUCGCAGCCUAACCCACCACCUGGGGUCUGUUUUCCUUCCACUUCGAAUAAGUCUUUUUCUAGCUAUACUAGAAGAAGUGAUACUCCAGUUCCAGAGCCAGUACUACAGGUGCUCUAUGUUGAACAUCCAUUUUGGAUGUCACAAAUUCAACUAGAAAAUUAGCAAAACUCCAAGAAUCCUCAUGAAUCCUAAAAUUAAGCAAUUCUUGAGGAUUCAUAUAAUUAUUCGUGGUCUCUGUGGAAUAGUUGUAUUACCAGAUAUGUUAUAAAGGCCAACUCCCUGUUGACCCACCUUGUACUCCACCAGAAGAACAGCUGCUCAAGCAGAUUAAAAUUCAGUCAGGUUUCAUCCAAAUGGAUUGUGGUUAAGUAAAUAAUACAGUUAUAUCUGAAAUAAUGCAAUUAAAAAAGCUGACACUCCCUAAUUAUUGUGUUAAAGUAAACGGAUUAAGACGAACCAGCUACCAAAAACCAAAUUUGUUGAAACAGUUUCUGAAGUCAAGUCGAGUGACCUUCUGUGAGAAGACUAGUAAAGCUCUCCUGAGAGAGCCUCCUAGCACCAAUGACUGUAUUAUUCUCAAAACUUAAACCUCUGAUUACAUUUGUGCUAUGAAGCUUUUGUGAAAACUGUCUAAUAAUCUACCUGUAAUUGUGCUGUAGGUUUGUACAAAGCACAAAUACAAUUCUGUAAUUGUAAACAUUUGUUUGGCUGCAAACAGCAAUAUGUACAGAUUUAAAUGGUUUCACUGAGUGUUAAGAAUUCAUUUCCAGUAAUACACAUGGGUAAUUUAUUUUAGACUUGUACCUAAUUCCUAAAAUGUACCAAGAAAUCACGCCAAGUAAUGUCAAUGAGGCUGUUUUCACACAUGACUGACUUAAGAUGUUUUGGGGAUUGUGCAGAAAUUUUGGUCCGAUGUUUUAUUUUUUUUUAAGUGGCUGUACGUUAGCAUUCCACAGUAGAAGGUUCCUCUGAAGAUUUGGUCUCGGAGCUAUAAAUGUGUGAAAGGGGAGAAACUGUAAGCAGGACAUAAUCUGGAAAAAAUGAAUAGGUUUUUAUUAGAACAAAUCAAAAAUGACAAAUAAACCUCUACAAUCAUUUUUGUUAAAAAAUAAGAACUGUUUGUGUCUUAACAAUUCCAUUUUGGUGAGGGAACAAAAUGGAAAAGAACAAGUCAUCAGAAAAAUUAAUCUAUUUGCUGCUAUGUUUGCACAUUUUGUCACAAGCUGUUCUUCCUGAUUUCUUUUUUAUUUAUUUAUUUACAAGGCAGCCUGAAAAAUCUCUGAAAAACAUUUAGGGCAAAUGCUGCCAAAUUAUCUCUAGAACAUUCCAGGCCUAUAGUGCAUGUGUGAAAACGCCUUAUGUGUAAAUGUGAGCCCUUGUCGAGGCGUAAAAAUGACUUGGUAUCAUUCAUAACAUGAAAAAGACUAACGAAUGACCCAUAACUGGUUCAGUCACGAAUGCACCAGGCUGUGUUGCUUCUUUCACCUAACAUAUAUUUUUUUGAAUGAAGAGUCUUACCUUCUCUAUCAGAAGGUUAUGAAACCUACUGUAUAUUAUACAAGUGUAAAUGUAUUUUCUAUAUAUUUACUUCUAUUUGUGUACAGGUGUGUUCUAUUUUUCAAGUCCUUUCCAGUUGUUGGGAAGGUUUUGAGCUAGGUCGGGAAUAGUGUCUUUGUUUACAUGUGUAUCUACAGUAUUUCUUUCAAAAACACAAAAACUAACCUUGUGCCAAGCUUCUUAUCUGCACUUUUAAGCAGUACUUGUAUGAUAUCUUUAGCUAAUCAGUAUAAUACUUCAGUAGACGCUGCAAUAGUUCACUGGCUGAAAAGUGAUCUCCAGGUGGAAUAUCUAAAAGCAAGAGUUCUGGGUGGUUUUAUCAGGUUAUUUGGUCAUACAUUGAGUUCUGGUGCAUUUAUGGUUGGCUGGAAAACCAAUGACUUAUUCUUCUCAAACAUUUAUAAUUGGGAUUUCACAUACAGAGCAUCAUCACAUGUACUGUUAAUACAACUGUUGCUGCCAAGAAACCAACUAAACUUGAUCUAGGUUGAGUUUUAUUAAUUUGUAAUUUUUCUUUUUUUCUCAUAUUUCUUUUGCUACAAUUGCCCCAGACAUUUAAAAGUUGGCAGAAUCUUUUCUAGGAGGACGACAGAAUUAUAUUAAUCAAGUACAUGAUGCUGAUGAUGUAAACUUAAACCUAUGAUCUGAAUCUCUGAAAAAAAUAUUUCCUCAAAGUUUCCAAGAUACUUCUUGGUACAUGUACCUUUUGCCUAAUUUUUACCUAUAAUGCUUCGAUGGCAGUUGUGUUUUAAACAGAUACUUCUGAUUAGUAUAGAAACCUGCUAAACACAGAUUGUUUGGCUACAUAAUGUGAGUAAAUCCAUUGCAGCGUGACAUCACAAAUGCAACAUAUAAACUCGUUUCUUCUAACUCCUGUCCAAAAUCUAAUACGCAAGAUACCUUAUAAUUUUUCCUUUCCAUUUUCAGUAAAUAUUUCAGAAUAGCCUGUUGCAAAUAGUGAAAAAACAAAAUCCAUUUGGCCAGUCAGAUCUGAUUUUAUAAGCAGGUGCAUUCCUUUCACACAGCAAAUGAAUAUUCUACAGCUCCCAUUUCUGUCACCUCACUCGCCUAUGAAAUAUUUCUCUCUCCUCAGUACAAAGACACUAUCGAUCAGAAAAGAUUUGCUCUGUAAAAAUGAAGGAUAAGACCAAUUUACAGGUCCUGUGAUUUGUGUUUGCAUGUCAGACAUAUGGAGUGGAACUUAUCGACAUAUGUAUUGUUUGAACAUCUAAAUGUUGGCUGAACAUUUCCAAGGCCUGUUUUUAUUUCCCUGCCAUAUUGUGAAACAGCAUUACCAUAAAAGAAAUAGAAUCAAUAAAUCGACUCAGCUUCAUUACAAGCUUUUGAUGUCUGACUAGCCCAGAAACAUAUUACACAUGUGGUAUUGAUGGUGACAAGGUGGUGGUUUGAAUUUGAUCAAAGUUAAUAGGGUGCUAAAUGAGGUGAGACUCUGUAGGAGGAGAGAAAUAUUUGAUUUCACAAUAAAUCUUACCAAACCAAUUCCUUAGCCGUGAGGAAACUGUAGUUCCUCACUCUGCUUUUCCUUGUUGUUUCAGGAAAAUCACAUAUUGUGCGCUUACUGUAACUGCAGCAGAGGGCUCUGACUCUGCUCCUGGGUCAUGUUUUUGCUUUUUUAUUCAAAAGAGCUAAAGCACUUCUGGUGCUUAUCCAUACAGUGAAAGACUUGGGAAAAGAAAGAAAAACAUUUUGUUUGCAACAUCCCCAAUUUUCUCAUUAUGCAUCUGCAAGAGGGGGAGUAGGAACAUGACCCAAAUCUGCCGUUAAUUCACACAGAAGGCCUCUAGUAAAGAUGCCUUUGCAACAGAGUGCAGACCUGAAAUGAGUGACAUGUUAAGGAAAUCUGAGAAGCAGGAAGGAACAGGAAGAGAAUUACUGCAGACUCAUUGGGCCUGUUUGAUGAUGACAAAAUCAGAAGAUGAAGUACGAUUAAUAUCAAAGACAGAACUGUCAUGAAUAUCAUACAUUGUGUUUACAGAUAGGGGUAAAGUAAAUGAUGCAGAUCUAUGUUAUUUCAUUACCUGGGAGGGGCUGCUCAUAUCUGAGCACAUAAGCUUUGAUCAUUUACAAUCAAAAACAGCUCAUUCAUACUUACAAUGAAGGAAAAUGACUCCAGUUGUGUUGUUGCCAUAAAAAUGAAGAGUUUGUACUUUGUGACUCUUAAACUUUUUAUAUUUGUGUUUAAUAUAUCAAUGAGUACCUCUGUUAACUUUUGUAUAAGACAUAUGAUUAUAGUAUACACAGACACACACACACACACACACACACACACACAUUAUAAACCUCCAAAAAAAGGGACUCCAGUCUGUCUCUGUGACGGCUAAACGUUGUAUAACUUUUGUUUUGUGUCUUAUGAACCACAUCUCUUCCUUUUGUAGUAAUUGGUAAACGUUUCAAUUUCCAGGUGACUAUGAUUUGGUUACUCUUGUACUACUAAGCUAUGUAUUUGCAAGCACUGUAAAUGCGAUUCUCACUGGAUUCGUCCUCUGUACAUUUAGUACUCUGAUGUUGCUAUUAAUAAAACAUAAAACAACAUAA